UUCUCAACUUGAGUUGUUGAGCCUUUGGUGAAUGAAGUCUUUUGUGACCAGCAAGAGCCUCACUCUUCUCCGAGCAGAACAUAUCCUUGCUUGCUCCUGAAAGUCCCUAUUUCAUUUGCACAGACAGCGCACUGUGAGACGAAGAGCUCAGGUUCUGGAGCCAGUCUGUCUGGGGUUGAAUCUCUGCACAACUGGUUUCUAGAAGUUACACUAGGCAAGUUACUUCACCACUUUAUGUCUUACUUCUCAUCUGUGAAACAGGGAUACUACUCGGCCUAAUAGCGUACAGGAUUACUGUGAAGGAAAGCAGAUAUUGUGAAGACAGUAUUGACAGCUGUGAAGACAAAGGGGCACAGAGGGACAGUAAUAGUAUGUAGCUCAUAGAAUUAUUAUGGAAAUUAGAGUUAAUACAUAAUAUGCAUAGAACAAUGCCUGACAUAGUGCUCAGGGGAUGCUACUUAUUACUUUUACUUCUUUUAUGUUUGUAGAUAUUGCCCUAGGACAAUCCAGCACUCCUGCCCAUAUCGCCAGUCUCCCCGGCACUCCCGUGCCAUCUCAAUGCCUUCCUGAGGAUUUCCUAUCUUCUAGAACAUUCUGCCCCAGCAAGGCAGCUCGGAGGAAAUGAUUAACUUGACUGCAAAGUCUCCACGGAUAUCUGAAGCUUACUAGAAGUUUCCAGAGACAAAAAAGCAUCUGUUAGAGAAACAGGAGGGAGGGUACUGAGGAAGAACAGGUGGAAAGACAGGCAUUACCUAUCUUUGCCCGCCAGAUAGUACAUCCUGUAUUCCACGCAUCAGUCCAAGGUAAGGUGUGUCAAAGGGGAGGAAGUGGGUGACAGGAAUGCCAAGAUGUCGGACAGGAAGCACGCAGGGCUGUGUGGGCGAGCUCACGGACAUGAAUACUGGGCUUUGUCAUUUCACUACUUGACACAUGAAGAGGAACAGUAAGACACAAGAGACAUGGUCUCUCCACAGACACGGAGAGAUCAGCUGAAGGAGGCCUGCACUUUAAGACUGAGACAGAAUUUUACUCUGUAAAAAGGGAAAAGGUACUGAAAUGCUUCAACCACUUAAUGGUAAGACUGCCACAGGUGCUUUGAGGAGCCUGAAA
rnacentral:lncRNA from 1 species